rnacentral:misc_RNA from 1 species
AGACUAUUAUCUCAUUAAUCUAUCAAAGGUUUGUCGGUCAAUUUGAUCAAAAAACAAAAAUAUUGAUUAAAUUCACUCAAAUUCGAAUCUUUAGGACUAUUUCUUGUGGAAAAGCAGAAGGCGGGUAAAGGAAUUUGGAUAUCUAUAAACGGAGUGUUCCUAGAAGGCGCCUGCGGCAGAAGGAAUAUUAAAAACCAAACAAGAAACAGAAACAAUGAAAAAUCUGUAUGCGAAACCCAAACCAUCACUUUAUAUUGAUGAUCUCGGAUAGAUUUGCUGCACUCAAAGCUGCCUCCUCUAGCACUACCACUACCACUAGUCUGUUGCUGGGACUAUUAUGGCAAUGACUACGAUGAUGGAGGGGGCAAAGGUUAAGAAGAUUAUUCAGUGGGCCAAAGACGCUGCUCGUCUCGACCCUCUUCACAAAAUGUUUCAAAAUUGAUCAAC